GACGAACGCUGGCGGCGUGCUUAACACAUGCAAGUCGAACGGAAAGGCCCUGCUUUUGUGGGGUGCUCGAGUGGCGAACUGGUAAGUAACACGUGAGUACCCUGCCCUUGCCUUUGGGAUAACUUCAUGAAACUUGGUCUAAUCCCGGAUAGGAGCUCCUGCUGCAUGGUGGGGGUUGGAAAGUUUCGGCGGUUGGGGAUGGACUCGCGGCUUAUCAGCUUGUUGGUGGGGUAGUGGCUUACCAAGGCUUUGACGGGUAGCCGGGCUGAGAGGGUAAGCGGCCAAAUUGGGACUGAGAUACGGCCCAGACUACUACGGGAGGCAGGAGUGGGGAAUAGUGCACAAUGGGAGGAAGGAUGAUGCAGCAACGCCGCGUGGGGGAUGACGGCCUGCGGGUUGUAAACCGCUGUCGCCUGUGACGAAGCGUGAGUGACGGUAAUGGGUAAAGAAGCACCGGCUAACUACGUG
rnacentral:rRNA from 1 species